UUUAGGUCCAUAUCCUUACAAUUUCACUCCUCUCAGACAAAUGUCUAAGACAAGUGUCCAUGAUCGUACCAAUCGCUCAAUUUAAUUCUCAAUCAUUAUUCUUUACUAUUUAAGUACAUGGCACCUUGGAUAGAUUCCAAUUUUGAAAGCAUCCUUGCUAGUGAGACGUCUCAUACUUCUCUUUCACUAAGGAUAUAUAUGCAUAUGCUUUCUUAGAUAUGCGAAUAAUUGAAAGGAUAUCAUAACAAUGCAGUAACUAACCCAUUUUUGUAUUUACUUUUUUUCAAGUUGAGUCGAACAACUGGAUCAUAAGGCGCAAGGAGGUUUUUAUAUUUAUAUUAGCAAAAUAGAAACGAUAGACAACAACAGGCAGCACAAAGAAUCGUGCAGCUCUUUUACCAAAGGGAGAGAAGGUCUAGUUUACUUCUUCCUACGAAUUUCGCCAAGGUAAAAAGUUUUUCCUCCAAAUUCUAUGAAAUCUGGAUAAAAUUAGUGAUUCUUGGAACAAACGGUUCUUUCAAUAAAUUGGCUUUUUUUCUCUGAGAUUUCUCAUAUUUUGGGUAUACUUUUAUAUCGACUAUUCGAAACAUCUUCUCCAAAUAAUCCUAGAAAUAGCCAAUACCACGAGA